rnacentral:rRNA from 1 species
UACGGGGGGGGGCAAGCGUUGUUCGGAAUUACUGGGCGUAAAGGGCUCGUAGGCGGCCAACUAAGUCGGACGUGAAAUCCCUCGGCUUAACCCGGAAACUGCCAUUGAUACUAUUUGUCUUGAAUACUGUGGAGGUCAGCGGAAUAUGUCAUGUAGCGGUGAAAUGCUUAGAUAUGACAUAGAACACCAAUUGCGAAGGCAGCUGGCUACACAAAUAUUGACACUGAGGCACGAAAGCGUGGGGAUCAAACAGG